rnacentral:rRNA from 1 species
GACGUAGGGCGCAAGCGUUGUCCGGAAUUAUUGGGCGUAAAGAGCUCGUAGGCGGCUUGUCACGUCGGGUGUGAAAGCCCGGGGCUUAACCCCGGGCCUGCAUUCGAUACGGGCAGACUAGAGUUCGGUAGGGGAGUCUGGAAUUCCUGGUGUAGCGGUGAAAUGCGCAGAUAUCAGGAGGAACACCGGUGGCGAAGGCGGGACUCUGGGCCGAUACUGACGCUGAGGAGCGAAAGCGUGGGGAGCAAACAGG